CUCAAGGGCCUCGCGUACGAGUUCAUCGAGGAGGAGAUCGGCGGCGGCAAGAGCGAGCUCCUCCUCGCCUCCAACCCCGUCCACAAGAAGGUCCCCGUCCUCCUCCACCGCAGCAACCCCAUCUGCGAGUCCCAGGUCAUCGUCCAGUACCUCGACGACGCCUUCCCCGGCGGCGCCGCCGGCGGCGACCUCCUCCCCUCCGACCCCCACGCCCGCGCCGUCGCCCGAUUCUGGGCGGCGUACAUCGACGCCGAGUUCUUCGCGCCGUGGAACAGGUCGUUCUACACGG
rnacentral:lncRNA from 1 species